rnacentral:rRNA from 1 species
GACGAACGCUGGCGGCGUGCUUAACACAUGCAAGUCGAGCGGUAAGGCCCUUUCGGGGGUACACGAGCGGCGAACGGGUGAGUAACACGUGGGUGACCUGCCCUCAGCUCUGGGAUAAGCCUGGGAAACCGGGUCUAAUACUGGAUAUGACUCCAUGACGCAUGUUGUGGGGUGGAAAGCCUUGUGCGGCUGAGGAUGGGCCCGCGGCCUAAUCAGCUUGUUGGUGGGGUGAGGCCUACCAAGGCGACGACGGGUAGCCGGCCUGAGAGGGCGACCGGCCACACUGGGACUGAGACACGGCCCAGACUCCUACGGGAGGCAGCAGUGGGGAAUCUUGCGCAAUGGGCG